CGGCGCGGGGAGACCCCGUGGGCCGAUGCCGAAGCUCGGAAGGGUCCCCAGAGGGGUCUCGGGGUUCUGGGAUUGAAGGCCUGGGACACUGGGCGCGAUGCCCGUCCGCCCAGAACAAUCCGCCCAGCCAGCCGGAGCUGCCCCAGUCCAGCUAGUCAAGGACCCCUGGGCUGAUACACCUCGUAAGGGUGGAGCCUCCGCAGACCUCUUCAGCAGUUGGAUGUCAUCGUUGGAUUUUCACUUUAGGGUCUGAACACAGUCUGUUCAUAUUUCCCGAGCUGCAUACAGUAUCUUUCUCCAAGAAUUCACGCCUCGCUCCUUUCUGGCACAACUUAUGUUGAGGGUCAGUCAGUACUGAAAAGACCUUGGUAGGACCUUGUAGUCCUGGGUAGGUAGACAGAAAGCCAAGGCCAGUGAACUACAAUUCUAGCCAUAGACCUAGAGAAAAGGUAUAUUGUGCAUCUUUGAUGUGUAUUUGCUUUAGUUCUUCAUUUUUGGGUGAAAUUGUGGGUUAGAAGGCAAUGAAGUGUUGACAGGAAGAGCCUUGCAUGCCAGCACAUCUCAGACAAUGCCAAUCGCUGCUCGGAAAACCCGACUUGCGGUGUAAGUCACAUGCAGAAUUUCAUUAAAGGACACUAAUAAAACCUGUCAGCAUGGAUUCCUGUUGAAUUCGGAGAUGCGGGCUUGCUGCUUCAUUCUUUGGAGAAGAUGGAAUUCACUUACUAUUGACCAUUCAUUUAUACAACUACACAUCUUAUUUCGUAUGGUGUUUUCUCAGCAACGGAAGUGAUUUAGAAGACUUCCUCACCGCAGUCACCACAGGUUCAAUUUCAGAGAGAAGAGGAAGAGCCUUGGGUGACCUUCAAGGUUCCUUCUCUAUGUAAUUACCUGUGGGGUAGGAGAAGAACCACAAAGCAUUUUAGGUAUUGAAUCCAGAGCUCUGUGUCUCCCAAGCCUGUAUUUUACUACUGAGCUACCAAACCUCUUACUUGGCAUUCCUGACAGCUUGUGUGCAGGCUUGCGCAUUCCGCUCCCUGCAGUGGCUUUAAAACAGCAAGCCGUGGAUAUGAGCCAUAGUCAUUUUGUUGAUAUGAGAACCUGAAACUUGGUGUUAGACAACUACCUUCUAUGCUUACACACAUAACUACUGAAACCAAAGUGUUGAUAUUGAUGGCAAACAACAUGUAAGGUAAUAUUGGUCAUUUUAACCACUUUUAAGAACAUAGAUUUUACAGUAUUGAGUGCCUGCACACUGUCAUGCAACUGCUAUCAAGAGCUUCUCAUGCUGAAACGUUCAUUAUCCUUCCCUCAACCUCUCACUCUACUUUCUGCUUCUGUUAAUUUGACA